CAUGCACCAGUGGGGUCCCUUGGCCUGGCCUGUGCCCUCUCACAAUCUGGGACCCCUCAGGGGAUGUCAGAGAGCCGGUUUUGGCCUGAUUCCACAGGCCAGGCUGAGGGACCCCACUGGUGCAUG
rfam:Myotis brandtii contig299955, whole genome shotgun sequence.